rnacentral:rRNA from 2 species
UACCAGCACCCCGAGUGGUUGGGACGAUUAUUGGGCCUAAAGCAUCCGUAGCCGGUUCUGCAAGUCCUCCGUUAAAUCCACCUGCUCAACAGAUGGGCUGCGGAGGAUACCGCAGAGCUAGGAGGCGGGAGAGGCAAACGGUACUCAGUGGGUAGGGGUAAAAUCCAUUGAUCCACUGAAGACCACCAGUGGCGAAGGCGGUUUGCCAGAACGCGCUCGACGGUGAGGGAUGAAAGCUGGGGGAGCAAACCGG